rnacentral:rRNA from 1 species
GAUCCUGGCUCAGAGUGAACGCUGGCGGCAGGCCUAACACAUGCAAGUCGAGCGGCAGCGCGUCCGACCACCCUCGGGUGGUCAGAUGGCGGCGAGCGGCGGACGGGUGAGGAAUGCAACGGAAUCUGCCUCGUUGUGGGGGAUAACGUAGGGAAACUUACGCUAAUACCGCAUACGACCUACGGGUGAAAGUGGGGGACCUUCGGGCCUCACGCGAUGAGAUGAGCCGAUGCCGGAUUAGCUAGUUGGCGGGGUAAAGGCCCACCAAGGCGACGAUCCGUAGCUGGUCUGAGAGGAUGAUCAGCCACACUGGAACUGAGACACGGUCCAGACUCCUACGGGAGGCAGCAGUGGGGAAUAUUGGACAAUGGGGGCAACCCUGAUCCAGCCAUGCCGCGUGUGUGAAGAAGGCCUUCGGGUUGUAAAGCACUUUUGUUGGGGAAGAAACCGGCCGGGUUAAUACCCUGGUUGAAUGACGGUACCCAAAGAAUAAGCACCGGCUAACUUCGUG